UGACAGUACUCCUACGGGAGGCAGCAGUGGGGAAUCUUCCACAAUGGGCGCAAGCCUGAUGGAGCAACACCGCGUGAGUGAAGAAGGGUUUCGGCUCGUAAAGCUCUGUUGUUAAAGAAGAACACGUAUGAGAGUAACUGUUCAUACGUUGACGGUAUUUAACCAGAAAGUCACGGCUAACUACGUGCCAGCAGCCGCGGUAAUACGUAGGUGGCAAGCGUUAUCCGGAUUUAUUGGGCGUAAAGAGAGUGCAGGCGGUUUUUCUAAGUCUGAUGUGAAAGCCUUCGGCUUAACCGGAGAAGUGCAUCGGAAACUGGAUAACUUGAGUGCAGAAGAGGGUAGUGGAACUCCAUGUGUAGCGGUGGAAUGCGUAGAUAUAUGGAAGAACACCAGUGGCGAAGGCGGCUACCUGGUCUGCAACUGACGCUGAGACUCGAAAGCAUGGGUAGCGAACAGGAUUAGAUACCCUGGUAG
rnacentral:rRNA from 1 species